rnacentral:rRNA from 1 species
GACGAACGCUGGCGGCGUGCCUAAUACAUGCAAGUCGAGCGAAUCAAUAGGAGCUUGCUCCUGUUGGUUAGCGGCGGACGGGUGAGUAACACGUGGGCAACCUGCCUGUAAGACUGGGAUAACACCGGGAAACCGGUGCUAAUACCGGAUAAUCCUUUUCCUCUCAUGAGGAAAAGCUGAAAGUCGGUUUCGGCUGACACUUACAGAUGGGCCCGCGGCGCAUUAGCUAGUUGGUGAGGUAACGGCUCACCAAGGCGGCGAUGCGUAGCCGGCCUGAGAGGGGGAUCGGCCACACUGGGACUGGGACACGGCCCAGACUCCUACGGGAGGCAGCAGUAGGGAAUCUUCCCCAAUGGACGAAAGUCUGAUGGAGCAACGCCGCGUGAGCGAUGUAGGCCUUCGGGUCGUAAAGCUCUGUUGUUAGGGAAGAACAAGUACCGGAGUAACUGCCGGUACCUUGACGGUACCUAACCAGAAAGCCACGGCUAACUACGUGCCAGCCGCCGCGGUAACAC